rnacentral:rRNA from 1 species
UGUAACCUACGGGACGCAGCAGUCGAGAAUCAUUCACAAUGGGGGAAACCCUGAUGGUGCGACGCCGCGUGGGGGAAUGAAGGUCUUCGGAUUGUAAACCCCAGUCAUGUGGGAGCAAAUUAAAAAGAUAGUACCACAAGAGGAAGAGACGGCUAACUCUGUGCCAGCAGCCGCGGUAAUACAGAGGUCACAAGCGUUGUUCGGAAUCACUGGGCGUAAAGCGUGCGUAGGCUGUUUCGUAAGUCGUGUGUGAAAGGCGCGGGCUCAACCCGCGGACGGCACAUGAUACUGCGAUACUAGAGUAA